UCCAGUGUCUUGGGAUUUGUGCCACAACC
rnacentral:piRNA from 1 species